rnacentral:rRNA from 1 species
UACGUAGGGUGCAAGCGUUAAUCGGAAUUACUGGGCGUAAAGCGUGCGCAGGCGGUUUUGUAAGACUGUCGUGAAAUCCCCGGGCUCAACCUGGGAAUGGCGAUGGUGACUGCAAGGCUAGAGUUUGGCAGAGGGGGGUAGAAUUCCACGUGCAGCAGUGAGAUGCGUAGAUAUGUGGAGGAACACCGAUGGCGAAGGCAGCCCCCUGGGUCAAAACUGACGCUCAUGCACGAAAGCGUGGGGAGCAAACAGG